CCCGUUGCACUUCAGCAUAUCAAUAAGCGGUGGACAAGAAACUAACAAGGCAUUCCCCUGUUAGCUGCUAGUGAAGCGAAACCAGCUCAUAUUUAAAAUCUGGAGACACUCUUCGCGGUGCCAUUUUUUUUUUCAAGAAGUCUUGGGUACUACUCAAGCCGUUGUCGUCUAAGAGCAGGGAGCGGAGAGGAGGGUGAUCCUCCAUUCUUUGACACGGACAGUGGAUGCUAUAAGUGAGACCGACAGGAAGAGUCGAGUGGUAUGGCAAUUCAGCAUAGAAGGUAGCUUGUAUCCCUUCAACUGCGCGGUCCAAAGGAGAGACCAAUAGCGAACAAGUACCAUGAGGGAAAGAUGAAAAGCACUUUGGAAAGAGAGUUAAACAGUACAUGAAAUUGUUGAAAGGGAAAUGUUUGAAGUCAGUCGCGUCGGCCGAGACUCACCCCCGCCUUUUGGCAGGGCGCAAUUCUCGGUCGACGGGUCAGCAUCAAUUUCGAUCGUCGGAUAAAGGUCGAGGGAAUGUGGCAUCCUCCGGGGUGUGUUAUAGCCCUCAGUUCCACAUGCAACGGUCGGGAUUGAGGGAACUCGGCAUGCCUUGCAUUGGUCGGGGCUUCGGCUCACGUUAACGUGUCUAGGAUGCUGGCGUAAUGGCUAUAAGCGACCCGUCUUGAAACACGG
rnacentral:rRNA from 1 species